CGGUUUUUAACCAACCGAGAAAACAUUUAUAUUUAUAUUUAUUUCUGGUAAUGCUAUUAAACGGUAAUUAAUGUGAACCAGCUUAUCGAAUGCACGAUUAUGCCCAUUCGAGCGAUUUAGAUCCCAUUGUUUUGUACAAAUUUGAUCAUUGCGACAUUCGUGCCGCGGUUCUGUCACCUGUUAAAAUAGAACCCCUCCCGCCCCAUCCGUUCCCGGGCCAAAAAUACACAACUUUGUCAUACUUGAAUCACUCUGUUCUUAUUACACUUAAGCAAUAACCGCUUAUCUAAAUCACCGAGUAAAUAUAAGUUACAAACAGCGCAAUAACUCGUUAUUCAUCAGAAUGUGCAAGUGGAUGUUCUUCAAGACCUCCUCCGUCAAAUCUUCUUACGAGGUCGACGCCGGCAGCUCCAGGAAGUCCAGCACCGCCGACAUCCCCGGCCUCGACGAAGAAACCAAAGUGCAGUCCCCCUCAGAGGCCUACCGCGAGACCAAGGACAGCUGAGCCAUGUCCACCGUAAAAAUAAAAAGUUUUGUCACUUCUUGGCGAAACCCGCUCACGUCGUUCGCUUUACAUAAAAGAGAAACGCCAGUUCCAGAUUUCCACCGCAUCGAAUUGUAGUCACAUCGCGCAAAAUAAAUAUGUAAAAGCGGCUGCGUUUUCUACUAAUAAAUCCGUUUCAGUUCUUGUAA